UGAGAGAGAACCGGAAGAGAGAAAAGGGAGAGAAGAGAGAGGGGCGGUGACCGGAGGGCCACUGUCGUCGCACCACCACCACGGUCACCAUCUCCGAUUUCUUUUUAGGGGUUUUUUCCUCAGAAAAUAGAGAAAGGAAAGAGGGAAGGAGAAGAUGGAGGGUGGAGGGUCACCACUGUUACACCACCACCACGGUUACCAUCUGGCGUCUCUGUUUUGUGGGGGGUGACCUCCAUACGAACCUGGGCUCUCUCGACGGUCGGGAAAUGAACAGCGUUUAUCUUCGUGGUUUGUUCCGAUUGACUUAUUUAGGCAGUCAUCUCCCCUGUGUCUUCCUGCUUUGGUCAUUGGAAACGAUGCCACUGAGACGACGAUUGGUUUCUUAGGGUUUUGCUUUGGCAUCGUCUUUUGUCUGCUGUUGGUUCCUAUGCCUUCAUUGGUUAGGUUUUUUGUCUUGGCUUCAAGGAUUUGACUAAAAAUUGAUGAGCAUGUAGCCUUGGCGUGACCAGGAUGAUGGAUGGAAUUGAUGUCUUUUACACGAUCUUAUAUGGUUCUGGAAGGAUUUCCUGACAGUGUUGGCCCUUUGUACCUGUCGUACAUGACAUGGAGAGCUUUAAUGCACUUCUUUGGGGGAGCAAUGGGUGUCUUCACAACGCAAGCACUUCUACACUCUGUUAAAAGCCAAGCUAUGCCAUGUGUUGGUUAAGCAAGGAUGGUGUGAUCAUAGAGGAACAUAGCAAGAUGUUAAAGCCAAGAUUCAAAUAAGGCAAGGAGGUGCCUUUAAACGUGAAUGGGCGCUAGCAUAUGAUCUUGCUCAAGAGGGACGAACUUCUUAAGAUCGACAGUGGGGACGGUGUAUGAUUACUGAUCGUGGACAUUUUGUUCUUUUCAACAUAUGCGUGCCUUGAGUCGAAUCCCAUCUGAUGAUGCAAAACGGCUUGAAUUCAAGCUCUCAUUCUACAAGAUACUGCAGGUGAAGGCACUAGCGACACAAAGAAGACCAGGUACCCGGAUGCAUGAAGAAAAAAAAUUUUGUGAUCUAUGUAUGAAUAGAAGACUAUGUUCGGACUUCUAUAAUUCUCUUAAUAUGUCACAUUGAGACACGUCAACAACUUUUAGUAUCAACUUCGUUACUAUAAGUGAAAUGUUCAAACCGAUAACAAUUCAGUUUAGCGCGCCGCAACGCGGGCGUGGGUAUCAACCUAGUUAGUAACAAAAA
rnacentral:lncRNA from 1 species